AGCAGUAGCCGCGGGAAAACGGAGGGUGCAAGCGUUAAUCGGAAUUACUGGGCGUAAAGCGCACGCAGGCGGUCUGUCAAGUCAGAUGUGAAAUCCCCGGGCUUAACCUGGGAACUGCAUUUGAAACUGGCAGGCUAGAGUCUUGUAGAGGGGGGUAGAAUUCCAGGUGUAGCGGUGAAAUGCGUAGAGAUCUGGAGGAAUACCGGUGGCGAAGGCGGCCCCCUGGACAAAGACUGACGCUCAGGUGCGAAAGCGUGGGGAGCAAACAGGAUUAGAUACCCGUGUAGUCCCUGUCUCUUAUAC
rnacentral:rRNA from 1 species